rnacentral:rRNA from 1 species
UACGAAGGGGGCUAGCGUUGUUCGGAAUUACUGGGCGUAAAGCGCGCGCAGGCGGUCCUUUAAGUCGGGGGUGAAAGCCCAGAGCUCAACUCUGGAACUGCCUUCGAAACUAGAGGACUUGGGUACGGGAGAGGUGAGUGGAAUUCCAGGUGUAGCGGUGAAAUGCGUAGAUAUCUGGAGGAACAUCGGUGGCGAAGGCGGCAUCCUGGACCGGUAUUGACGCUGAGGCGCGAAAGCCAGGGGAGCAAACGGG